CCUACGGGAGGCAGCAGGGAGGAAUAUUGGUCAAUGGACGAGAGUCGGAACCAGCCAAGUAGCGUGAAGGAUGACUGCCCUAUGGGUUGUAAACUUCUUUUAUAUGGGAAUAAAAUGUUCCACGUGUGGGAUUUUGUAUGUACCAUAUGAAUAAGGAUCGGCUAACUCCGUGCCAGCAGCCGCGGUAAUACGGAGGAUCCGAGCGUUAUCCGGAUUUAUUGGGUUUAAAGGGAGCGUAGGUGGAUUGUUAAGUCAGUUGUGAAAGUUUGCGGCUCAACCGUAAAAUUGCAGUUGAAACUGGCAGUCUUGAGUACAGUAGAGGUAGGCGGAAUUCGUGGUGUCGCGGUGACAUGCUUAGAUAUCACGCAGAACUCCGAUUGCGAAGGCAGUUCACUGGACUGCAACUGACACUGAGGCUCGAAAGUGUCGGUAUCAAACAGGAUUCGAUACCCCGGUAGUC
rnacentral:rRNA from 1 species